rnacentral:rRNA from 1 species
UACGGAGGGGGCUAGCGUUGUCCGAAGUUACUGGGCGUAAAGCGCGCGUAGGCGGGUUGGUAAGUCCGCUGUGAAAGCCCGGAGCUCAACUCCGGAGGGUCGGUGGAUACUGCCAGUCUUGAAGGUGCUAGGGGGAGAUGGAAUUACCGGUGUAGCGGUGAAAUGCGUAGAUAUCAGGAGGAACACCGGUGGCGAAGGCGGGUCUCUGGGCCGAUACUGACGCUGAGGAGCGAAAGCGUGGGGAGCGAACAGG